rnacentral:rRNA from 1 species
AUGAACGCUAGCGACAGGCCUAACACAUGCAAGUCGAGGGGCAGCACAAGGAGCAAUCUGAGGUGGCGACCGGCGCACGGGUGAGUAACACGUAUGCAACCUGCCUGUAAGCGGGGAAUAACCCGUUGAAAGACGGACUAAUACCGCAUAAUACUAAAUUACUGCAUGGUAAUUUAUUUAAACAUUUAUGGCUUACAGAUGGGCAUGCGCAUGAUUAGCUAGUUGGAGAGGUAACGGCUCCCCAAGGCAACGAUCGUUAGGGGUUCUGAGAGGAAGGUCCCCACACUGGUACUGAGACACGGACCAGACUCCUACGGGAGGCAGCAGUGAGGAAUAUUGGUCAAUGGACGAGAGUCUGAACCAGCCAAGUCGCGUGCAGGAAGAAUGUCCUAAUGGAUUGUAAACUGCUUUUGCAGGGGAAUAAAGUGCAUCACGUGUGAUGUUUUGUAUGUACUCAGCGAAUAAGGAUCGGCUAACUCCGUGCCAGCAGCCGC